GCCCGUGGUUUUUACAGGCAUUCAGAAAUUAUGCAGGGUGUGUGAACAGGGACCUGUCACAUUUUAUUUUCUAUCGAGAUCUUCAUUUUAGAUUGAGAGAUAACGAACCGUCAAAUUCUCAAUAUAGCAAUUAUUCACAUACAUUUAUGAUACAGACAGAAUCAUAUACCAUAACACUACAAGGAAAGGCACACAACUCUCACCCCCACUUCUUGAUUCUGCACAUAUUUUUCGCCCUUAGACUUUUAGCAAUUUCAGACAAACAAAUAUUAACCCAAUUUUUCAAUUGUAAAUGGGAUGAAAGGCAGAUCCAACUCUUAACUUUUAUUCCAGUUGUACAGAGUAAUUUAUGGAUUAUAUCUAGACAAUAGUACCGUUUUACUUGCUACAAGAUGGGUGAAUUUGUGUUUUAAAAUGAAGUUUUAUUUUAUCAAACAUUGUUAGAUAACAUGGAAGAUUCUGAAAUCAAGCUUGAGUAUCUAAUGAUGCAGUAUGUAAUCUCAGUUGAGAUACGGCUCAGCUGGAUAUUUUGGACAUGCCUCAGGGUCAGUAGUAUUUCAAAGUUGAAAGAUUUCUUGAUGGAACAUAGGAAAGCUCAUGUCAGCACAUUGUCAGAAACCCACAGUCGGUCGCUCUCCAUUUACCUCGCAGUUAUGAAUCUUUGGAGUACAUCAGAAUCUUCUGUUUGGCUUCCAUGAAGAGAAAAAAAAGGUAUAAAGUGUACAUAUGUUUGCUAGAGAGGAAAAACAUAUGAUAUGCAUACUAUGAAUGUCCUUUUGGGUAAGAGAUAAGUUUUGAUCUGGAUCAACAAUCCUAUUAAUAUAUUUUGUUCUAAAACUCUGCUGGUAUUUACAGGCACAAUUAACUUUUAAAAUUCCUUGGAUUCAAUAUAUUCUAGCACA